rnacentral:sRNA from 1 species
UCUAUGGUUGAGUGGUGCUUCCGGAAGC